GCCGCCAUUGCCGAUGCCGGCGGUGAUGUUAAAGAAUGAGAAACCACGGGAAGGUGGUUUAUUGGGGGCUGACAUUUGGGAAAUUAAUAGUGGAAUUUGUUGAAAUGAUCAAAAGAGUUGAAAGAUAAGAAAGGUGAAAGGGAUUUUAUUUCUUGAAUUAGGAUAUGAAAAUGGAGAAUCUAUGGAAGCUCAGUGAUGGAGAGUGAGCAUGUGAGGGAAAAGGAUUUUAUUUCUUGAAUUAGGAUAUGAAAAUGGAGAAUCUAUGGAAGCUCAGUGAUGGAGAGUGAGAAUGUGAGAUCUUUGAUACC
rnacentral:lncRNA from 1 species